AGCAAAGGUGAGAAAGAGAGAGAGAAGGGAGAGAUUUGAAAAUACUAUGCUGCUGGCUCUGAAGCUGGAGGAAGGAACCAGGAUCCAAGGGGGAAAUGCAGCCUCUAGAAGCUGGAAAGAAACAUUUGAAAUUAAAAUAAAGUGUCCUUCAAUCAACUAUGAGUGAAGACAGAUUGACACAUCUCACUAUCCUGAUUCUAUCCACCAUGAAUAUGUGAAGAUCAGUUUGACAAAGCCAUUGACAAAUUUGCAGAAGUGAAGGCUCAAAGCCAGAAACUGCAAUGGGAUUAUUCAUCACCCUGGAAAAUCAACAUUUGAAGCCUUGCUGCUGGAAGAAGACAGGAAAGUCCUCUUGGCCUGGCUCCAAAGCCCUGUAUCCAAUCCAUGUUUCUGACCAUGGCCCUCUUUCCCUCAUCAUUUACACGUGGCAGGAACUGGUGACUCCUGACCAUCCGUGUGGACCUUCUCCUUGAUGAGCUGAUGACUUUUAGGCCGUUGGGAACCCGUGGUGCCCUCUAACAACUGCAAACAUUUCUUGGUGUGCCUCAUAAACAUAUACUCUUCCUGUUGGAAGAUCUAUGUGGCCGUGGGGAAAGUCUUAAAGAGAGGAAGGGAGAGGAAUAAAGAGUCAGAAACAUCGAUCAGCUGCCUCCUGCACACCUUCUACUGGGGAUGUGCCCACAACCAAGAAUUAUUCUGCUUAUUGGGGAAAGAAGACAUGAGCAUUCUGCCAUCAGCUCCUAGCAAAGCUGGCAAGAAAGACUUUCUUAUAUAUUUCUGAACUAAGAAAAUACGUAAGAAGAACACAGAAAAGAUGCCACUACUUGGGAGAAGCAGACAAACCAGAAUUUCUGUUCUUUUUUUUUUUUUCUUCUCUUUAUCAUGAAAAGACAACCAUUUCAAU